GACGAACGCUGGCGGCGUGCUUAACACAUGCAAGUCGAACGGAAAGGCCCUGCUUUUGUGGGGUGCUCGAGUGGCGAACGGGGGAGUAACACGUGAGUAACCUGCCCUUGACUUUGGGAUAACUUCAGGAAACUGGGGCUAAUACCGGAUAGGAGCUCCUGCUGCAUGGUGGGGGUUGGAAAGUUUCGGCGGUUGGGGAUGGACUCGCGGCUUAUGAGCUUGUUGGUGGGGUAGUGGCUUACCAAGGCUGUGACGGGUAGGCGGCCUGAGAGGGUGACCGGCCACAUUGGGACUGAGAUACGGCCCAGACUCCUACGGGAGGCAGCAGUGGGGAAUAUUGCACAAUGGGCGGAAGCCUGAUGCAGCAACGCCGCGUGCGGGAUGACGGCCUUCGGGUUGUAAACCGCUUUCGCCUGUGACGAAGCGUGAGUGACGGUAAUGGGUAAAGAAGCACCGGCUAACUACGUG
rnacentral:rRNA from 1 species